rnacentral:tRNA from 1 species
GAAUAACUUGGUUUAUUGGUCAAGCCAAACUAUUUGCUACAUAGUUGCCUUAAUUUAAAGGUUCAGUGUUCGAUUCACUGGUUAUUCG